ncrna:unclassified sequences lysM-TM7 RNA
GCCUGCCAGAAAAGUCGCACGGACACAGCAUUUUGCUCUCGCGUAAUCAAUAAUAUUAAAAUAAACUUUGGUCGACGGGUGUCCUUUUCUGAUAAGAAGUAAGACUGAGUAUGGUAGAUGUGGUACAGUAAUGUUUCCACGGGAG